rnacentral:lncRNA from 1 species
GGCCACUCGGCCCGGUCUCGCCGGGCGCGCCGAGAGGGCCUCUGGCGCCGGGUGCGCGCACGGUCGCCACGCAGCGCGUGGGACAGAUUGGAUUGUCUCGGUGGGUCAUCGCCUUUGAUGUGAUUUAUGCGGCGCUCCCGACCGACGUCGUCUGAUGUGCAGUGCGCGUCGCGAUGUGUGCACUCACGCGCAAACACCAAAUGCGACGAGAAUGGCUUUGGCAACGUGACCGUCGGUAGACUCGGCGGCGUGGGUCGUCGCCGUCGGGUUUUCAUGACGAUCGGGCAAGUCGCGCGUACGCGAGACGACAGCGCGCUCGGCGCGACCGUACACGGACACACGCACGCACGGCACACAUUUUUUUCUCCCCUCACAGAGGCGCCAGGGACGACGGCAAUGUGGACCGGGCUGCGGCGGCCUGCCCAUCUCUUUUUUUUCCCUGUCUGGCUCGCGAGCCAUAGGCCAGGAAUAAA